CCUACGGGGUGCAGCAGUGGGGAAUAUUGGACAAUGGGCGAAAGCCUGAUCCAGCCAUGCCGCGUGUGUGAAGAAGGCCUUCGGGUUGUAAAGCACUUUCAGUGGGGAAGAAAGCCUUGGGGCUAAUACCCUCGAGGAAGGACAUCACCCACAGAAGAAGCACCGGCUAACUCCGUGCCAGCAGCCGCGGUAAUACGGAGGGUGCGAGCGUUAAUCGGAAUUACUGGGCGUAAAGCGCGCGUAGGCGGUCUGAUAAGCCGGUUGUGAAAGCCCCGGGCUCAACCUGGGAACGGCAUCCGGAACUGUCAGGCUAGAGUGCAGGAGAGGAAGGUAGAAUUCCCGGUGUAGCGGUGAAAUGCGUAGAGAUCGGGAGGAAUACCAGUGGCGAAGGCGGCCUUCUGGACUGACACUGACGCUGAGGUGCGAAAGCGUGGGUAGCAAAUAGGAUUAGAUACCCGGGUAGUC
rnacentral:rRNA from 1 species